rnacentral:rRNA from 1 species
UACGUAGGGUGCAAGCGUUAAUCGGAAUACUGGGCGUAAAGCGUGCGCAGGCGGUUAUGUAAGACAGUUGUGAAAUCCCCGGGCUCAACCUGGGAAUUGCGAUGGAGACUGCAAGGCUAGAAUCUGGCAGAGGGGGGUAGAAUUCCACGUGUAGCAGUGAAAUGCGUAGAGAUGUGGAGGAACACCGAUGGCGAAGGCAGCCCCCUGGGUCAAGAUUGACGCUCAUGCACGAAAGCGUGGGGAGCAAACAGG